AGAGUUUGAUCCUGGCUCAGAACGAACGCUGGCGGCGUGCCUAACACAUGCAAGUCGAACGGAAUGAGGGGCUUGCUCCUCAUUUAGUGGCGCACGGGUGAGUAACGCGUAGAUAAUCUGCCUGAUGAUCUGGAAUAACACUUCGAAAGGGGUGCUAAUACCGGAUAAGCCCACGGAUACCUUGGUGUCUGCGGGAAAAG
rnacentral:rRNA from 1 species